GCAGUAGCUGAGUGGCAAAGCACCGGCUUUGUGUGCCAAAGUUCCCUGGUUCAAUCCAGGACAUCACUA